ACACGAUAUUCACACCUUGAUUUUCACACCUUGAGUGCCAAAUGCGCCUUCAUUAGCGCGCCAUCUCCUAUUUCGAGAGUCAGCAGUAGGUGCUUUUCCAGCUCAGUCGUUCAACAACUCGACUGUUCACUUGUCUUUCUCUCGGCAUGAGGUCUCAAUGACCGAAACAGCCGUCGCCCGUCGGAAGGAAUUUUAUUUCAGUACUUCGAAGCGGAACCUCUUUGUUGUUGUUGUGGAACGUGUGUGUUUGCAUAAUGGUCGGCCACAGAUGCAGAGUGCAACCGCGGUGGCGGUGUAGUGACUGAAGUCAAUGUACGCAGGACGUUCCAACUGGUAGUACCGGUACGUCAUUGUACCAUAGUGGCAGAGAAUGGUUUUGUUCAGUUCGACCCGGGCGUGUUGCCGAUAGCGGCGCUCAUCGUCUUGGCCUUGGUACUACACUGCUUGCUGAUUUACGCUGCUGUUAUGGAGAUUCGACGAGUUUCCAAACUUCUUGCGAGCCUUUCAUCGCCUGCAAGGCUGCAACCGGACCUGCGCCUCGUGUGGAAAGCUGCCGAAUCGCUCUCAACCAGAAUCGUCUCUGCGCCAAGGAUCCUCCGGUGUUUGACGGUGAUGGGAGUUGAUUCAAGGAGUGGUCUUUCGCAAUUGCAUGGACACCCAGGCCCUUGGAAGUAAGUCCAGAGCGAGAAACUAAUUACUUGACUACUGGUAUGUGGCUAGUUUCCCAGUGGCAGCAACGCUCGACCUUGGCCAAUCUCUUCUCUGGAAGCUGGCGGCGGAGACACUCAACGACUUUUCUUCGCUGAGAGACGCGCUGCGGUCCAAGGUGUAUGGACCACAGAGAACAGUUCAGAAAAAUCCAUUCGCCCCGAUCACUGCGUCCAAAGCAGUCAUGUGGAAGCUGUGUGUAAACAGGGGAGGUCAUUCUACGGCGAUAUGAGAUCCGCAUACAAGCUGCCAGAGCAUACGUGGCUUUUGUAAGUGUGGGUGUGUGCGUGUUGUAUUUCGUUGUCAAGAGACCUGUUUCAAGUACACUGUACAUCUUUAGCCUACUUGCAUUUAUUAUUAUUAUUAUUAUUAUUUUUUUUACAUCUGUUCAACUUGAGUGCAAAGUACUUGAUAAGUAAUUGGUGUUACAAAACUUUCCUGGUUACACAGAAUGCUCAUGGUACAUCUAUCGAUGUUUUUUGGUGUGUGUGUGUGUGUAUAUGUUUUUCAACUACACACAGAACCAGCUGGUACGGCCGCGAUAAUAACUGGGAGUGGGAAGUGAUCUACAAGUAGCACUUGGAAUAAUGACCAUUUUUCUCAUAUACCGGUAUACAUAUUAUGUAAUUUUUUUUCUUUCCUUUUUUUACUCGAAGCCAUAUGCAUGUAACACAUAGCAAGCAUGACUCUCUCAAUUCCAAUGAUUUGUUUCAUUACGAUUCAUUCAUGAAAUAAUUCCAAUGAUUUAUUUCAUUACGAUUCAUUCCUGAAAUAAUACGUGAACAGUA